AGUGAACGCUGGCGGUAGGCCUAACACAUGCAAGUCGAACGGCAGCACAGUAAGAGCUUGCUCUUACGGGUGGCGAGUGGCGGACGGGUGAGGAAUACAUCGGAAUCUACUUUUUCGUGGGGGAUAACGUAGGGAAACUUACGCUAAUACCGCAUACGACCUACGGGUGAAAGCAGGGGAUCUUCGGACCUUGCGCGAUUGAAUGAGCCGAUGUCGGAUUAGCUAGUUGGCGGGGUAAAGGCCCACCAAGGCGACGAUCCGUAGCUGGUCUGAGAGGAUGAUCAGCCACACUGGAACUGAGACACGGUCCAGACUCCUACGGGAGGCAGCAGUGGGGAAUAUUGGACAAAGGGCGCAAGCCUGGUCCAGCCAUACCGCGUGGGUGAAGAAGGCCUUCGGGUUGUAAAGCCCUUUUGUUGGGAAAGAAAAGCAGCAGGUUAAUACCCCGCUGUCCUGACGGUACCCAAAGAAUAAGCACCGGCUAACUUCGUG
rnacentral:rRNA from 1 species